AUUGGGAGACUUCUUGAUGACCUCCGUCUGUGGGAACAGUACCAAGAAAGCUUCUUGACUGAAACCUUCGCAUGUUUAUUCCUUCUUUCGUCUUCUCGAUUCCUCAAUUUUUUGCUUCUUUUAUCAGUUGACAAUUUUGUCCAUUUCUACUUUCCUCUUGCCGACUAAAACAAUUUUGCCAACUGAAGGUGAGGUGCCGAAGAAAAAUUUCCAUUCACUACUGGGUAUAUCUUGGUUCAUUUUCUUCGUUGCUCUUCGCGAUACCGUGUGGUCCUAGAGUCCCCCGUGCUUCUCUGCAACAUGAAGGUUAGCUUCGGUAUGGUCUCUUGUUCCUUUCUCAGUUAUUAAUUAUGUUUGGCUGCCGAGAAAAUAAAAAUGGUCAGAAAGUGACGGAAGAUGAAAAAGGAACGAGCUUUCUGAAUCGUAGACCCUGUUUCUUAGCCCAAUUUAUCGCCGGCGUUUCGUCCCUAUGAAGAUUUAGCAGAUCAGAGUGCGGAUUCUUUUUUCUCUGAUUCGUUUUUUUGGUUUUUGAGUUGAGAUUCUUCAAUGAAAUUUCUGGGAUUCUGAUAUCAGCAAAAGGAAGGAGAGAUUGAGAGUUUUUACUAACUCUUUUUUUUUUCUUUUUUUGCUUCUCUUAUGUGGCGUUUGGAGCCAGAGAAAAUCAAAACAAGCCUAGAAAAGUGAUAAUUCUAUCAGUUCGUAUCGCAAAGAGCAUCACAAGGAUGUACAUGAUGAAAUGUGCUAAAGGAGAGUGUUUUGAACACGGACAUCUUAGUUGAUAUGGAAACAUUGAGUUGAGCCCUGCUGCUGGAGUUCCAAAAUUAUGGGCAGGGACAAUUUGAAGGCACAAAAGGAUACAUGAGUGAAGAUACUUCCAUCCAGAACAGAAUGCAAUUCGCAUGAAAAUGGAGACUGAAACAAUGUGCAUGCCAUCACCCUCCAUUAAUCAAUUUGUAAAUGUUGUGAAGCAAACAGCCAUAGCCAAUAAGCGUUGGGUAAUCUCGCUCUGUCUUGAAGAAAAUGCCCAAGACUUAUGCUGCAUUGACACUUCUAUUGUUUUCUGAGUUACUUUUGUCAGUGGAAGCUUAAACAUAUUUUUAAAUAUAUGAAUUUGUGGCAUUGAAUACGAACAGAGGUUCCUCUUGCGGGGAAAGGGUCUCUGUAUCUGAGGCCUCUGCUCAUGGGAAGUGGUCAAUUAUUGGGUGGGUGCAGCACCUAAAUAUGUAUUCCUCAUCUAUGUUUUCCCUGUUGGAAACUAUUUCAAGGUGGUUAUAUAUACACAUAUCUUUUUUUUUUUUUUUUUUUUUUUUUUUUUUUUUUUUUUUCUUUUGGGUUAAAUUGAUGCUUAAUUUAAAUCCUAUUAAUGAUAGAAUUCAUUAAGUCCAUUUCUUUCGUGUCUUGGGAAUGAGGAAUCAUAAUUCUUGGAGAUUUCAAAUUACUUGACUUUCUUUUUCGGCAUGGACUUUUCAUCCUCUUUUUUUUGUGAUCUCGUUUUCUUUCUGAGUGGAGUAAAGAUUAUAACUUCUAUAUGCAAGAUAGUCACUAAUGCAUAUCUUUCUGGUAUUGAUUUGUAGCAAUUUACAUUUUUAAUUGAAAAUUUUAUAGGAGCUAAGAACUCUAGCAGUGGGGCAACACGGGAGGCAUGUGAACUCGAUUGAAAAAGUGAACAUGAGGAGUUUCAGCCUCUUAUUAAAUUCAAACGUGAUCAUGAGGCUGAUACUGUUUUCAACAUUCUUGAUCUACUGAUGUACAAGGGUGCAUAUUUGUUCAAGAAGAUACCAACAGAUUGUUAAGUUGCUGGAGAGUUCAACUAUCUGAAAGGGAGCUGCUAAAUUUUAAAUCUUCUGUGAAUGCUAAAUCUGAUAAUUUGAAUUGGCUUUCACUGUUUUAUGGUGAACAAAAGUAAAGGCAGAUAAUAACUGUAUAAUCUUGUUUGCCAACAAGUCAGAAAGUAGCUUGCCCACUACUCCAUGCAACUGCAACUCCUCAAAGAUGCGCUCAGUGGGAAUGGGAGAUCCAAAUUCUGCAGCAGGUCUAUGCAAAAUGGGAUUGAGAAAGGAGAGGAACCCCUAAUUUACUUGUGUGGUCAGUAUUAUAAGAUUAACGUUUAUUUUUAAUUUUCUCUAUAAAUUAUAUUGUGCAUGAUGGUGUGAAUCUUUUUUACGCAUGGCAUGUGAAGGCUAAGAUGUGGCAUUGAAAUGACGGGUUUCUUGUUUUGGGUAAACGUUACACAUGAUGUUCAUUUAUAGGUUGCGAAAUUUCAUUAUUUUCCCUUCUGCUAUGAAAUUUGUAAUAUCUGGGUAUUGAAUACAUGAAAAGGUUCGCAAUUUCUACAGGACUUUUUGUGGCUGUACAUGUAGACUGCUACUUUGGAGGAAUUGACUCAGAAUUUUACGAUGCUUUCGUUUCCUAACUAUAAUGUUUUUUUUCACUAUUGAUACAUAUUCUUUUGCACUCCAAUAAAGUUGAUUCAGAAUUUUCUA